GGUGUGAGGAAGGUGAUGGGACGUAUCUACAGUCUUGGUGAUGGAGACUUGGAGUAAAGUCACAUUCUCUGUCUCAGGCCAGUGAUUGACAACAGAGCUAGUUAAACAGUGAUGAGGCGCUAAUGGAUGCUGGGUCGAGGAAGUGAGGAGGGUGGCGAGCGGGCUUGCAGCUGAAUAUUUAAUGGUCAUAUAAUUCCAGAACGCCAACACACACACACACACAGGCAGGCAGGUACACACCCACCUCAUGACCUGUCCUACACAUGGUUUAAUAAGGGAAACAGUCCUUUCGUUUAACUGGCAAAAGAGCAAACGCAGGCCCUGAGGGAAUAAAAAGACCCCUCCUGAUCUGCUGUUUAGUAGCAGCAGUGGACCACCUCCGACUAUCUGCUCGUGCUGGGAGGAAGGGCAGAGGAGCAUGGAGAUGGUUGACUCUGCUCAGUGAAGUGCGGGAGAUGUGUGUGUGUGUGUGUGUGUGUGUGUGUGCUGAGCAACGUCGUCCCUGUAAAGUCAGCAGAGCGACACAGAUUCAUGUGGACGCUCCUCAGGCAGGACGGCUUGAGCAGAGCAUGAAGAGUCUUUGAGCUGAGGGGCAGAGGAUUCGACUGAUUCUACAAGAGGCAACCUGCAGUGUGAACUUUGCCUAAUUGACUUGAAGCCAUGUUCACUGGAAGCCUGUUUCAGAGAGGAUGAAAAGGCCAAGGAAACUGAUCCUUUUGACUGAAAAGCAACUUUGUUAUUGUAAUAUAUUGAGACAAAAAAUGGAAGUGGCAAUUACAGAAGACGCAGAGAAGAAAAUAUACUCAUCAGGGCGGGAGACAAACGUCAGAGUGUGAGGCUAAUUAGUUCUGAUGGCUGGACUUUCAUUUGGCUAAAAGGUCAGCAACUUUAAAGGUCACACUGGCACACGGCUUUAUGUGAACAGAGCGAAGGAGAAGGCAACAAAAACACUUUGCCAGAACAAUACUUUCACUCAACAAGCUUUAGCCGGCGCACAAGGACAAAAAAAAGAAAAAGAUAUUUAUCUUCUUCAGUCUUUUACAUUCAAGGUCAGGGGCUGAUUCCAGUCUAGGCUGAAGGACCAUGACCAGCAUGUUUAAAACUCUUAUUAACGCCAACAGAUAUUGCGUCAAUAUUCUUAAUUUUAACAGCAAAUAAUAAUGACCAUGACGCAGCCAAGGAUAUUACUCUUCACCUCUUGCUCAAAAGUGUGUCUUUUUUUUUUAAUGUGCAUUAAAAAGUGCCAGCUUACCUUCCUCUAACUUCUGUCGGGCCUCCUCUUCCCUCUUUGCAACUGUGGCCUUCAGCACUUCA